GAGGGAACCAACAUGGAAGUAGACAUAACUGAUUUUUAAAAGUGGGAGCCUUGGAUGUGUUUGCUCACAUGCACCUAUAAGUACUCUAAGGUUGAGAGGAGUAUUUUGAUCACAAGAUUGUGGACCGUCGGAUUUUGCUACAAUUGUGACAUUUUUGACAGGAGUUCAAGCAGUUGCUUGAUAAUAAUUUGUGAAGCUCUCUUAUGAUUUCC
rnacentral:lncRNA from 1 species